ACGGCCUUGGGUAGCGAUUUUAAUAAACAACACUGUUAUCAAGCUUCAAGACCCUGUGUGCCCCUCUCCAAGCCUAGUCACAGAGCAUCUUUGUGGUUUUGGUAGUAUCGCAAACUUAUGAUGUGAUUUACAGGAUUUAUUUCAACACUUACACAGCAUAGUCACGUUAAUUUUCCUUGACAACAUUAAACCGUUCAACUCUCUACAGAUGCUCACAGGAAAUCGCACUCAAAUCGCAUCAAAAGACUAUUGAUGACCAACUUACACACCCAAUCCACAAAGAACGUUUGUCAAGCGAAGAUACACAUACCUCAAAGGAUAAACAACAUAGGGUCAUCAAAAAAUACAAGUUGACCUCCUUACUUCCACGGCGACUCGAGAUGUUAUAUUAAUGUCUUAUGUGUGACAUGGCGCAGUCGAAACCAGACCCGAUGAAAGCCGACUAGACGCUAGGGUCUUGAUAACAAGCGUUUGCAUACCUCUCCCUGGUCCAAUCCACGCGAGCAGCAAACCCAGUAACGCUGUCCACAUCAUGCUCUCUCCUCGAUUGCCGGAGUUUCACUGUUUUAGCUGCCCCAGGGCGCCGUACCAAUAUUUACAAGCCGAGGAAUCGAUAAGAUAGAAUGUGUUCUUCGAGUAGGUGUGAGACAGCGCUUGUGUGCUUGGAUACCGCACAAGUCCGUGUUAUAACCGAGAGUGCGACGGCUCUAUCGGUAAUUGCGAUCUGACACUUGCCUCAGAGUAUCAAGCACUUCCGGUGAAAAUGCGACACCCAGAAGAAAACAUCGCGCUCUCGUUACACCUGUUGCUUCUAUAAAUAACGCCAACUUCCUCCACAAAUAACCCAACAUCUAUACCGAGUGGUCAGAAUAAACUUUUGCCUGUCAUAAUUCUCCGUGCACUCUGAGUUAAGGCCAAACACAACAAGCCGCUCACAGCUCUUUGGGGGAGAGACGUCAUCAGAAAUGCGUCAGCAGGACAAAAGCAACAAUAACACGGACGCAAUGUUUAAAUUGCGUUUAAAAAUGCUUCCCACGAAGAUGUGCUUGUGCUGUCGCCUGGGUUAACACUUGAUAAAAGGCAGUUGAAUGAUAAGUGGGAUAGGAAAAAGUGUUAAUACCAGUUAAUGUCGUGCGGAAAUGGAACUCCGCCUAUCGCUGCCAGGGAAACUUAGUGGUGAAAUUACUUAAAUCAUCUUAUAACUACUACCUAAAUACUGUAAUUGGUGGAAGUUUGGAAUCAAACCCUAAAAAAUUCUGGAGCCAUGUCAAACACUCUAGAACAGAAAGCUGCAGUAUAUACGUACUUUGCGUCAAGGUGACUCAAUGUAUAUUUCGGAUAAGGACAAAGCUGAGGCAUUAAAUAAGUAUUUUUAGAGUGUUUUCACACCUUCGUCCUACCACAUGUACUUCAAUCCAAGAUAUCAUAUUUACUCAGGCUGGUGUCCACAAACAACUUGCUGGACUAAAUGUAUCCAAGAGCAGUGGCCCUGAUGGUAUCUCACCCCGUGUGUUACGGGAUCUGGCAAAGGAACUUUCCGGGAUGCUGUGCUUUAUUUUCAACCAAAGCUACAAUGAGGGGACCUUACCAGCUAUUUGGCUAAAUGCGAUGGUCGUCCCAAUACAUAAAAAGUCAGCUAAAGAUCUUCCGGAAAACUAUCGCCAUAUCUCUCUUACCUGUAUCAGCUGCAAGAUCAUGGAACACAUUGUUCUCAGCCAUCUGAACAAACACAUAUCAUCUAACAACAUAUUAUCAAUAUUUCAACAUGGCUUUCGUGCGGGUUUGUCUUGUGAGACCCAACUAGUCCUCACAUUUCAUGACUGGGCAGCCGUGCUAAACCAUCAUGGCCUAGUGGAUGCUCUGCUCCUAGACUACAGUAAAGCUUUUGACAAAGUGUCACACCCAAAGCUUUUGAAAAAGCUCUUUUAUUAUGGCAUCAGGGGAAAAACAUUGGCUUGGAUAUCUGGUUUCCUAAAUAAGAGGUCCCAGUAUGUGGCAGUCAAUGGCACCCACUCUGAUGAGUACAAGUAACAUCAGGAGUACCACAGAGUUCCGUACUGGGACCGACCCUGUUUUUGUUGUAUAUCAACGAUAUCUGUAAAGCAUCAAAUUCUCAAAUCAGGCUAUUUGCAUAUGACACCAUCAUAUACCGCCCAAUCACAUCCAUGGAUGACCAUACUGCACUUCAAGACGAUCUGGAUAAUGUACUUGAUUGGUCAGCAGCUUGGCAGCCUACAAACAAAGACUAGUUGUGACGAGAGGUAGAACUGUAUUAAGCGGUAUUAAAGGUCAAGUGCUUUGUUUAUUUCAUGUUAUCAUAUGUGGUCACAUCUACUGUGGGCCUAUACAAAAGUUGGCCUCGGCUGUCGUUGGUGCCCCUGUCUCAUCAGAUUGAAGUUCUAUGUUAUGUUAUUAUCCAUUUUCUUUUGUUUGAAGUGUAGUACUUAUAGACUUGAGCCAGAGAUAAUAAAAUAAAUGAAAUUAAAUUAAAAAUUGGACUCUCCCUACCUACCCGGAAUUUCUGAGGUAUGAUUUCAAUUCUAUCAAAUGUUUCCAGUCCCACGGCGUCUUGUUCCUGGUGAGCUGACCUGGGGUUACUAUUAAGCUUUGUCAAAAAAGAUAUGUGAUCUAGAAUUCACAAAAAAAAGCGAUUGUUUAAUGAAAAUAAUAAAAAAGUCCCAUUUCGAAACGUGUUUGCCAAAGACAUUAAUGUAACGUACAUUAAAUCGUACACUAGCUUUUUUUAUAUCGUUUAUAUAGAUAUUCCAU